GAGGAAAAGAAACUAACAAGGAUUCCCCUAGUAACGGCGAGUGAACCGGGAUGAGCUCAAAUUUGUAAUCUGGCGUGCUCCGCGCGUCCGAGUUGUAAUCUAUAGAAGCGUUUUCCGUGCCGGACCGUGUCCAAGUCCCUUGGAACAGGGUAUCAAAGAGGGUGACAAUCCCGUACUUGACACGACGACCGGUGCUCUGUGAUACGUUUUCUACGAGUCGAGUUGUUUGGGAAUGCAGCUCAAAACGGGUGGUAAAUUCCAUCUAAGGCUAAAUAUUGGCGAGAGACCGAUAGCGAACAAGUACCGUGAGGGAAAGAUGAAAAGCACUUUGGAAAGAGAGUUAAACAGUACGUGAAAUUGUUGAAAGGGAAACGAUUGAAGUCAGUCGUGUCCAAGGGAUUCAGCCGGUUCUUCCGGUCUACUUCUCUUGGACGGGUCAACAUCAGUUUUGGCCGGUGGAUAAAGGCUGGAGGAAUGUGGCACCCUCGGGUGUGUUAUAGCCUCCUGUCACAUACAUCGGCCGAGACUGAGGAAUGCAGCUCGCCUCACGGCCGGGGUUCGCCCACGUACGAGCUUAGGAUGUUGACAUAAUGGCUUUAAACGACCCGUC
rnacentral:rRNA from 1 species